AUUGAACGCUGGCGGCAGUCCUAACACAUGCAAGUCGAACGAGUGGCGGACGGGUGAGUAAUGUCUGGGAAACUGCCUGAUGGAGGGGGAUAAAUACUGGAAACGGUAGCUAAUACCGCAUACCAUCAGAUGUGCCCAGAUGGGAUUAGCUUGUAGGUGAGGUAACGGCUAACCUAGGCGACGAUCCCUAGCUGGUCUGAGAGUAUGACCAGCCACCCUGGAACUGAGACACGGUCCAGACGCCUACGGGAGGCAGCAGUGGGGAAUAUUGCACAAUGGGCGCAAGCCUGAUGCAGCCAUGCCGCGUGUAUGAAGAAGGCCUUCGGGUUGUAAAGCACUUUAAGUUGGGAGGCGUUACCAACAGAAUAAGCACCGGCUAACUUCGUGCCAGCAGCCGCGGUAAUAC
rnacentral:rRNA from 1 species